rnacentral:misc_RNA from 1 species
CAACUCAGCACUUUAGUCAAUAUCUUUAUCACAUUUUAAGCCUUUUACUGUUAUUAUAGUACGUCCAAAAUCUAUUUAUUUAGUAGUUGCUGUUUUCAUUUGUUUUUGAUUGAGAUGAAUUACAUCAUUUCUUAACAUUAUGGUGUAGUUUUCUACCCAAAUGUUUUUAGUGCUUGCAUUGUUCAGAUUAGUUUUGAGAAAUGGCAACUAAUAAAGAUGUGUUCUGUAAUUUUGUAGAUUUUGUUGUAUUAAUUAAAUAGUUGUGACAAUUUUUUGUAUAUUUUGUGCUCUUGGACCUUCAUCAAAAUGGCAUCUGAAAGGAUGGAAUGGGUAGAAAUAAUAGAACCUCGGACCAAGGAGCACAUGUAUGCCAAUUUGACUACUGGAGAAUGUGUUUGGGAUCCUCCUAAAGGUGUACCUGUAAAAAAGACAGACAACAACCAGUGGUGGGAGUUGUUUGACCAGAACACCAGCAGAUUCUACUAUUACAACGCCACUUCACAGAAGACUGUCUGGCAUAGACCACAGAACUGUGAUAUUAUCCCUCUUGCAAAGCUUCAGACACUAAAGCAGAACACAGAACCUGCAGUGCUUGAGGACACAGGUGAUACCAGUUCGCAAAGACCAAAGGAGUCUGUAGCUACUCAAACACCAGGCCGAGUUAGAACUCACACACAUGCAAACAAGGAGCCUGGCGAGAGUUUGAAGACUGCCGGCAGCAGCAGCAGCAGAGCCGUUGCCAUAGAGACACAAACAUCACCUCCAAGCUCACCGAGAUCUUCUCGUAGAACUCAUCAUCAUCAUCACCACCAUCGACACCAACAUGUAUCCCAGCAGACAACAUCACAACAGACCCAUACUCCCAGUAGAGUACCCUCGUCUGCUGCAGAGUGUAGUAGGCCGAGACGGGGAAGUCAGGGUUCGUGGUACAACCGCACUACCCAGACACAGACGGGUCCGGUACAAGAGUCCGGUCGGUCCAGUGACUCCAGCUGUGUAUCCCUCAGUCGCAACUCUCUGGAAUCUUCAGUGAAACCCCUGGAGUCCCCGAACCAUUGCGCCCUCAAGCAUUCCCCCUCAUCGGGCCUCACCUUGUCCACAUCAACCCCUGUCCUCAAGAAGAAGCCCUUGAGUGACGCUAACACCCAGUCCGAUAGACGCACAGCUGGCAUCUCUGUGCAGAGAAGUGCUUCCAACGCUGCUCAUCUUCCCGCCAAGCAGAAAAGUUUUGAUAUUGAUAUAAGUGUUGGAGGAGGUUAUAGUCUUGGCCACGAGAACCGCAACAGUGGCAGCAGUGUCAGUAGAAACAGACCCACACUGUGUAGUAGCCAGUCCAACCAGCAACUGUCUCGGAGUCGAAGUCAGACCACCCCGCAACCUAUUACAACCCCAUUAACUGUAUCUUCCACUCUGUCUUUGGAUCAGGAAGAAGAGGAUUCAAUGCAUGAGAAGUAUUUUCUGUCAAGCAAUGCUCAGUUGUCCAGUGGAAGGAGAUCUGUUGAAUCUACGCCGCAGGCAAGAAGAAAACACCAACACCGCUGCCCGAAGCUCAGUCCUGACUACGCUAACCUGGCCAGCAGCGUACCUCCCCCUCCACACGCCCGACACUCGCACUCCUCCUCGUCCAACUCCUCUACGUUAGCAGGCGGUCACAGGGUACAGCCACCCCACCUUGUUACCAGAGAGGCGGGCUUGUCAAGCAGUGAUAAUGAGAACGACUCAAGCUCUAGUGUGUCUUCUAGUCCCCGAACACAGCCGUUACUACAUCCUGACAGCACUACCAACGAUCACAACGACAAAGUGAUGAAACGAGCGACCUUCAAUAGUCAUCAUGUGGAUGAUCGUCACAACAAUUCUCUCCAGCAAAACCGAAGAACGGCCUUGAAGAACAACGGUAACCAUAGCCAUGCACCUUGUACGAGGAUAGAUAACAAGACGGACUCAUCGCCUGUCUACUCGAACCAGCCACUAGCAGGUAUCAUCCUGGAGCAGGAGAUGCAGGAACACCUGUUACCUCUGCAGCAGUACAUCCUGGAGCAAGCCAAGCUGUCAGGUUGUUAUAGGUUUGGUGACAGUCUAGUUGAAGAAGCCGACUCCUUACAUUCGGAGGAGGAGGAUGGUGGUCAUCUGCUACAAGGAGGGGUGGAGUACGACAGCGAUGAGUUUGCUGAUGAUGAGGGAAUGUCUAACCAGGACGAUUCUAGUAGUCAGGAAUACCUUCACGAUGAACCGAGUUACCUUGAUACUGUCGAACAGUACAGAUAUGCCAACUGGGAAAGGAGUUACCCUACAGUUACAGACGGCCGAGUGAGCGACUAUGUGGUGGACAGUCUGGAGUCAAGGAUGGCAGCUUCUAGUGGCUACAACACGAACCUCACAUCCUCUCUCUCUCAACAGCAGACCUCUAGAAGUAAUAGUCUAGUCUCUUCUGUUACUGGAGCAUUAGGGUUGAAUACGCCACUUCCGCUAGAAACUCAACAUGCUUCGCUCAAGCGUAAGAAAGAACCUUCUGCGCCUCCUCCAGUCCUUUACUCACCCAUCAUGGAGAGGGCAGAAUGGGUUGAUUGCAGACGUCAGCUGUCCCCCUCUCCCCCUUGCAGUGCAAGUUUCUCUCGUACCCCUUUCCCUAUUACUGCCCACUCUCUACCCCCCUCCCCCUCACCUCUGUCGGCGUCUCUGCAGUACGAGCAGUUGUCACGAGUCGUGUUGAACAAGAAGCUGCCAUCGGAGAGUGACAUUGAGAAGUAUGCUCAAGAUAAUCUCAACAUCCACAAGAAAGGAAUCUUUAGGAAAAAGUUUUCUAUUCGAGAUAUGUUAUCGUGGUCCAAAGAUCCGAUAAGAAAGCCGAUGUUGGUAUUGUCGGACAAGUCGCUGAAGAAGGAUGCAGUUGAGAUGUUCAAGCUAGUACAGAUCUAUAUGAGUGACCGCAAGGCUAAACUGGGAAUGAGUCUCAACAGCGUAGCCUUGGAGAUCUGCAACUAUGGUUACACCAAGCCGGCACUUCGCGAUGAGUUGUACAUCCAGAUCUGCCGCCAGACCACCGAGAACCCCAGGAGAGAGAGUUUAAGAAGAGGCUGGGAACUGCUAGCAAUUUGUUUGUCUUUCUUCCCACCGUCACCAAAGUUUCAAACGUACCUGGAUAGUUAUAUGAAUAGGCAUAGAGAUCCUAGUUUUGAUUUCCCAGAAGUGGGGAAGUGGCCAAUCCAUGUACAAGUCAGCCAUUAUGCGAGUGUGGCUUGUAAAAGGCUCGAACGAGGAGGAGAAGGAGGUAAAAGACCACCAAGAAAGCCAACGUUAGAAGAAAUAGAUCAAGCUCGGUUGCAGAUCUUCAGGCCUAGUAUGUUUGGAUCAACUUUACAAGAAGUGAUGGCGUUACAGAAAGAAAGGUUCCCACAUUACAAAUUGCCUUGGAUACAAACCACUCUCUCUGACGAAGUGUUAAGAUUACAAGGCGCUCAAACUGAGGGUAUUUUUAGGGUAUCAGCUGAUGUGGACGAGGUGACGAGUCUAAAGAUGCAGCUGGACAGGUGGGAGCGGCCGACAGACUGGACAGACGCUCACACUCCGGCGUCGCUGCUCAAACUCUGGUACCGAGAGUUGUACGAGCCCCUCAUACCCGACACCAUGUACAACGAGUGCAUACAACACCACGACAAUCCCAUCAGAGCUAUUCAGAUAGUCGAUAGUCUUCCAGAAAUCAACAGGCUGGUCUUGUCUUACCUCGUGCGAUUCCUACAGGUACCUACUGGAUUGUGUUACUUAGCCUUACUAAGGCAUACAACACCACGACAAUCCCAUCAGAGCUAUUCAGAUAGUCGAUAGUCUUCCAGAAAUCAACAGGCUGGUCUUGUCUUACCUCGUGCGAUUCCUACAGAUAUUUGCACGGAGCGAGGUGGUCCAGCAGACAAAGAUGGAUGCCAGCAACUUGGCUAUGGUGAUUGCUCCCAAUUGCCUACGGUGCAUGUCACAUGAUCCAAGAAUUAUUUUUGA